rnacentral:misc_RNA from 1 species
GCGAGCAGCGCUGAGCGGGCGCGGCCAGGCGCGCCGCGCCCGCUCAGACCGUGUCGCCGCGCCGCCGCGAUCGCCGCCGCCGCCGCCGCCCGUGCCGCCGCCGCCGUGCCUUGCGUGCCGCCACAGUGGAGGGCCCCGGUCGACUCCGUCACUCGAUCGACAUGUUGAUCUCGGACGCUGCGCCCGCGUCGGCGGGCGCUGCGCCGCCGGCGCCCUCGUGGAAACUGACGCCGCCGCGCACUGCUGCACCGCUGCCCGUGCACCCACUGCCCACCACCCCGCACCCAGGCGCCAUUCCGCCGCAGCUGCGGGAGCUGUACAGCUCGCACGGCCUGUCUCAGAUGUCUCAGCUCUCUCAGAUGUCUCAGAUGUCUCCUGCGCGGCUGCUUGAGCUGAACCGCUACACGAUGAGGCCGUACGACCUCGCCCAGCAGAUGAUCAGCCAGCAGACGGCCGUCACCAAGCUGCUCAGCGGCUCUCUGAGACCCCCAGGCGUCAUCGGGGGCAGCAAGCCCAAGGUGGCCACCCCACAGGUGGUCAACAAGAUCGAACAGUACAAGCGAGAAAACCCCACCAUCUUCGCGUGGGAGAUCAGAGAAAAACUGGUGGCAGAUGGUGUCUGCACCAAUAACACGGCUCCCAGUGUGAGCAGCAUCAACCGAAUCCUGCGCAACCGGGCCGCCGAGCGCGCGGCAGCCGAGUUUGCGCGCGCCGCCGGGUACGGGUUCUACCAUCCGUACGCGUCGGCUCUCCCGUACCCGCCGGCCGUGUGGCCCAAUCUGUCCACCCCCAGCCCGGCGACCGGCGGGGGACUGACGGUCACCCCUCCGGCAGGGGAUACGGCCUCCUCGGCCAGCUCGACAUCGCCCAAACCGAGCCUAGACGAGAGCGAGUCACGAAGGGAGGUGGAGGCGAGUCGCGGCGCCGACUCUGACUCCGAGCAGCCUAAGUUCCGCCGGAACCGCACCACUUUCUCCCAGGAGCAGCUCGAAGAGCUCGAGAAAGAAUUCGAGAAGACUCAUUACCCGUGCGUCAACGCGCGCGAGCGGCUGGCCGGCCGCACGGCCCUCUCAGAGGCACGAGUUCAGACGAGCGAAGUGGAGACGCCACCAGCGCAUGAACAUGCUUCAGGACCAGCCGGGCUUCGGCCCCCCUGGCUCCCCUGGCUCGGACGCUACCACCCUUGGCUCUCCGCCCCCAUCCCCCCGACCCUGCUCCGGCCCCUCCCCACCACACCCGGCGGUGCCGCCGACCGCCAGCAUCCAGAGCGAACGUAGCGCCUUCGCGCCUCCCGUCCUCCCCCGCGCCGCGUCAGUGGACUCGCCCGCGCCCUCGGACUGCGUCGGCCUGGAUCUGUCCAUGCGCGGUCAGGACGGGUCCACGCAGCCGGUCGAGGGGAGGCACCAUGCCGACUCGGAUGACGGCGCCGAGUCGGACGUCAGCGUCGGGGAGGACACGCCCUCCGGCGACCGUCCCGACCAUAGAUAAAGGUACUCGGCAGCGUGAUCACUUCGACCGGCGCGGGACGCGGCUUACGCUUUGGAGAGCUCUAUUUUGCCGUGUAGCGUUUUGUUCUCGGUCUUGCCCCGGUCACACUCGCACAGUCCCGGCUUGGCGCCCUUUGCGCCCGCUCGCGUACGGGGCGCGCGCGCGCGGUCGCCCACCCACCAGUGUUCUCCAGAAGGCAGCGAGCCAGUCGCUGCGCAAUCGUGGCGAAAUCGGCGCCAGUUGGUGUGCGUAAAACACUGCUUGUGAAUUACGCGUGUCCUUUGUGUGUGUAUUUUGUGUGUGUGUAUUGUGUAUCGUGUAUUGAGCGUGUGAGCUGUACAGAUAUGUUGUUGGUCACAAUGUGACGAUGUGUGUAUAUUUAUAGCAUCACAACCGCAUUUGAUCAUUGAUUGUUACCUUUAUGUGCGUUUUGGUCGUCUCGGGUCAAUGUCACAGGCAAACAAAAUACAUCUCCUGCACUAGUGA